rnacentral:rRNA from 1 species
GAUGAACGCUGGCGGCGUGCCUAAUACAUGCAAGUCGAGCGAACGGACGAGAAGCUUGCUUCUCUGAUGUUAUCGGCGGACGGGUGAGUCACACGUGGAUAACCUACCUAUAAGACUGGGAUAACUUCGAGAAACCGGAUCUAAUACCGGAUGAUAUUUUGAACCGCAUGGUUCCAAAGUGAAAGACGGUCUUGCUGUCACUUAUAGCUGGAUCCGCGCUUCAUUAGCUAGUUGGGAAGGUAACGGCUUACCAACGCAACGAUGCAUAGCCGACCUGAGAGGGAGAUUGGCCACACGGGAACUGAGACACGGUACAGACUCCUACGGGAGGCAGCAGUAGGGAAUCUUACGCAAGGGGGGAAAGCCGGACGGAGCAACGCCGCGUGAGGGAUGAAGGUCUUCGGAUCGGAAAACUCUGUUAUUAGGGAAGAACAUAUGUGUAAGUACCUGUGAACAUCUUGACGGUACCUAAUCAGAAAGCCACGGCUAACUACGUG